rnacentral:rRNA from 1 species
GAUGAACGCUAGCUACAGGCUUAACACAUGCAAGUCGAGGGGCAGCGGGAUUGUAGCAAUACAAUUGCCGGCGACCGGCGCACGGGUGAGUAACACGUAUCCAACCUUCCGGUUACUCGGGGAUAGCCUUUCGAAAGAAAGAUUAAUACCCGAUAGUAUAAAUUUUCCGCAUGGUUUGUUUAUUAAAGAUUCAUCGGUAACCGAUGGGGAUGCGUUCCAUUAGAUAGUAGGCGGGGUAACGGCCCACCUAGUCGACGAUGGAUAGGGGUUCUGAGAGGAAGGUCCCCCCACAUUGGGACUGAGACACGGCCCAGACUCCUACGGGAGGCAGCAGUGGGGAAUAUUGGGCAAUGGGCGCAAGCCUGACCCAGCAACGCCGCGUGAAGGAG